AGAGAUCAAUAAGAGAACUCAUAUUUAGUUCUAUUUUAUUAUGCCAAACAUAGUUACAAACUUGUAGUUAAAGAUCAUGUUUCUUUUAGCAGUACUCUGUUCAUUGUGUUAUUACUUUGGUUGAGACAUAUAUUUGAAGUUAAUGAAGGUUUGAGUUCUUAUAUGUGAUGAUGAAAUAUAUACUUAUGGCACAAUUAUUUUGUAACAACAAUUAAAUUUCUAGCUACAAAACGAAAUUAAAAAGGUGCUGGCCAAAAUGCCCUCGUUGCAACAAACCACUACGCAACUACCGUUUGUUGUUGCAAUAUACAUUAUUGCCACAAACCUUAUGUGUUGCUAUAGGACGUGUCUACCACCAACAAUGAUUCGUUGCAUUUUCCAUCUAUUACCACCAACAAUGAUUCGUUGCAUUUUCCAUCUAUUACCACUAACAAUGAUUCGUUGCAUUACUUUUUAUUGCUACCAGCAAGUGAACGUUGCAAUUGUGACUCUAGCCACCAAAUUUG
rnacentral:lncRNA from 1 species